UACGUAGGGUGCAAGCGUUGUCCGGAAUUAUUGGGCGUAAAGAGCUCGUAGGCGGUCUGUCGCGUCUGCUGUGAAAACUCAUGGCUUAACCCUGAGCUUGCAGUGGGUACGGGCAGACUAGAGUGCGGUAGGGGAGACUGGAAUUCCUGGUGUAGCGGUGAAAUGCGCAGAUAUCAGGAGGAACACCGGUGGCGAAGGCGGGUCUCUGGGCCGUAACUGACGCUGAGGAGCGAAAGCGUGGGGAGCGAACAGG
rnacentral:rRNA from 1 species